rnacentral:rRNA from 1 species
CCGGCACGGGUGAGUAACACGUAUCCAACCUGCCGUCUACUCUUGGACAGCCUUCUGAAAGGAAGAUUAAUACAAGAUGGCAUCAUGAGUCCGCAUGUUCACAUGAUUAAAGGUAUUCCGGUAGACGAUGGGGAUGCGUUCCAUUAGAUAGUAGGCGGGGUAACGGCCCACCUAGUCUUCGAUGGAUAGGGGUUCUGAGAGGAAGGUCCCCCACAUUGGAACUGAGACACGGCCAA